rnacentral:rRNA from 1 species
GAUGAACGCUGGCGGCGUGCCUAAUACAUGCAAGUCGAGCGAACGGACGAGAAGCUUCCUUCUCUGAUGUUAGCGGCGGACGGGUGAGUAACACGUGGAUAACCUACCUAUAAGACUGGGAUAACUUCGGGAAACCGGAGCUAAUACCGGAUAAUAUUUUGAACCGCAUGGUUCAAAAGUGAAAGACGGUCUUGCUGUCACUUAUAGAUGGAUCCGCGCUGCAUUAGCUAGUUGGUAAGGUAACGGCUUACCAAGGCAACGAUGCAUAGCCGACCUGAGAGGGUGAUCGGCCACACUGGAACUGAGACACGGCCCAGACUCCUACGGGAGGCAGCAGUGGGGAAUAUUGGACAAUGGGCGAAAGCCUGAUCCAGCAAUGCCGCGUGAGUGAUGAAGGCCUUAGGGUUGUAAAGCUCUUUUACCCGGGAUGAUAAUGACAGUACCGGGAGAAUAAGCUCCGGCUAACUCCAUG